rnacentral:rRNA from 1 species
GUAGGGGGCAAGCGUUAUCCGGAUUUACUGGGUGUAAAGGGAGCGUAGGCGGUUUAGCAAGUCAGAAGUGAAAGCCCGGGGCUCAACUCCGGGACUGCUUUUGAAACUGUUGAACUAGAUUGCAGGAGAGGUAAGUGGAAUUCCUAGUGUAGCGGUGAAAUGCGUAGAUAUUAGGAGGAACACCAGUGGCGAAGGCGGCUUACUGGACUGUAAAUGACGCUGAGGCUCGAAAGCGUGGGGAGCAAA